UGGAGAUUCUGCAGGACCCGGCGGAGCGCAUCUUCCGUGUGCGCGUAAUCGACGAAAACCAGCGGCUGGCCGUUCCGGCUGACCUUUUCCAUCC
rnacentral:tRNA from 1 species